GCCGGUGUGGCGGAAUUGGCAGACGCGCGGGACUCAAAAUCCCGUUCCUUUAGAGGAGUGUCGGUUCGAUCCCGACCACCGGUA
rnacentral:tRNA from 4 species